rnacentral:rRNA from 1 species
CCAGACUCCUACGGGAGGCAGCAGUGGGGAAUCUUCCGCAAUGGGCGAAAGCCUGACGGAGCAACGCCGCGUGAUCGAAUGAAGGCCUUCGGGUUGUAAAGAUCUGUUGACAGGGACGAAUAAGCAAUGCGAAUAGUUUUGUGUAUGACGGUACCUGUUUAGAAAGCUCCGGCUAACUACGUGCCAGCAGCCGCGGUAAUACGUAGGGAGCAAGCGUUGUCCGGAAUUACUGGGCGUAAAGGGCGCGUAGGUGGGCGCUUAAGUCAGGUGCGAAGACUCCGGGCUCAACCUGGAGACUGCACUUGAAACUGGGUGUCUUGAGGGCAGGAGAGGAAAGUGGAAUUCCUAGUGUAGCGGUGAAAUGCGUAGAUAUUCGGAGGAACACCGGUGGCGAAGGCGGCCGACUGGGCUUUAACUGACGCUGAGGCUCGAAAGUGUGGGGAGCAAACAGGAUUAGAUACCCCAGUAA